rnacentral:rRNA from 1 species
CCUACGGGCGGCAGCAGUGAGGAAUAUUGGUCAAUGGGCGCGAGCCUGAACCAGCCAAGUAGCGUGAAGGAUGACGGCUCUACGGGUUGUAAACUGCUUUUAUAAAGGAAUAAAGUGAGACACGUGUGUCUUUUUGUAAGUACUUUAUGAAUAAGGAUCGGCUAACUCCGUGCCAGCAGCCGCGGUAAUACGGAGGAUACGAGCGUUAUCCGGAUUUAUUGGGUUUAAAGGGAGCGUAGAUGGGUGGUUAAGUCAGUUGUGAAAGUUUGCGGCUCAACCGUAAAAUUGCAAUUGAUACUGGCAGCCUUGAAUACAGUUGCGGUAGGCGGAAUUCGUGGUGUAGCGGUGAAAUGCUUAGAUAUCACGAAGAACUCCGAUUGCGAAGGCAGCUUACUAAGCUGCCACUGACAUUGAGGCUCGAAAGUGUGGGUAUCAAACAGGAUUAGAUACCCCUGUAGUC